rnacentral:lncRNA from 1 species
UAAGCCAUCCACCUGGAGACCCACAAACAUUAAGGCUGGAUUUGCUAUAAGAAGCAACGUGCCUUUAAAUGUUAAUUUAUGGAAGUCCUUUCUUUUCAGCAGGAGACACAUCUCCCAGUGCUGCCCAAUGAGCAGCUCGCACACUGCCCAUUUGCUCUUGGACCUCAGGAUUUUUCUCUCCUCCCCCCGCUUCCUAAUUUUUUAAUAUAAAUGCACAUUUUCCCCUCCUUUUUGGGCAGAAAUGUAACUUUUGUAGGAGAGCAGCAUGUGUUCAAAUGACACAUUUCCCAGGCAUUACAUUUGAUAAUUUCACAGAGAUACCGGAGUUACCUCGUAGCAAUGAGUUAACGCAACAAAGGGAAAUCAGUUUGUUUGCAGUAAGCAGAGGAUAACGGUGCCUAAACUUUACUAUUGGAGAGGGGGGAGGCGAGCAGGAGGCACCGAAAAUUGCUUUUUAUAAUUAAAAAGGGAAUCUCAGAUGUUUUAUAUCUUGAAUAUUUACAAUAAAACCUUCAAGUGCUUGUCAAGAGGGUAAUGUGUCAUUAGCAGGAGCCUUUGCCUCUCUUCUCCUCUCGGACAUGACAGUGCAGCAGGAUAAGAGAAGAGUAAUUAUAGUUCAGCAGGGCUGCCAGGUGUGAUAAAUGAGUAAUCAGCACGCAGGAGCCCCGGCCCUCAAAGGAGGACUAUUACAGCCUUAUCAGCUGCGGGCCCGGUGCGCACGGCUUCGCGCUGAGCCCGAGCCAGGGCUCGCUGCGCUGGAUGCGGCCGCCCGCCUGCAGAGCUCCGCAGCCCCGCUGUCACCGCGCUGUCACCCGCUGCUUUGUGCCGCUGCCAUGGCAGGGGAUGGGAGGGAGGGGAGAGGAGAAAACAGAAAGCGGGACUCUUUGCAUUGCCAGUAUUUACAUAAAACUCUUCCCCGCUCUCCAGGCAGCGCCUCUCUUCCAGCUCGGCUGCACCAGGGCAGGGCUUUCUCUCCCAAACAAACUUGAGGGCAGUCAGCUUCCCGGCGGUGCUGAGCUCUCACUGAUGUUGGAUCGCAGCGCGGAGCUGCAGCCCCAUCCGCCUCCCCAUGCUGGUUCUGCUGCCGUGGUUCAGCCCCGUUACUGCGGGAGCAGCCGCGUAUCGGAGCGGGAACCAUCUGAUUAAAAUUAGUCGAAACCCAAUGCAACCAAUCAGCGCAACGCCGAUCCUCUGCUUGUCUAUUUCCCUUCAAGUUUAGUGCUACUGAUGGCAGGAAGAAAUUAAAAUAAUUUGUAGAAUAAUUCUUGUGAAAAAGAGAACGCCUGUAAUAAAUUGUUAUCAAGAAAAAGGGACA